GCUGCUGGGAGAUGGUGAUCUGCAUUUCUUUGGAUGGCCGCUUGUUCUCCUUGAAGAUGGCGAUGAGCGUGCGCCGCUGCAGGCUUGGCGUGGAUGGCAGCAGUGGGAGGGAUGGGGAUGAAAGUGGGAGGCAGAGAGGGGAAAAGAACACAAGGCAAGUAAACCUCAAGUCGGAGCCUCAAUAAACAGCUUGAGGCAAGUACUCAGCCUACGCAUUGAAUUGUUCACUAUCUGCCAAAGUGCUCCUUGUUAUGAAGUUUGCUGACCCCAUCCAGCGCAUGAAACUCAAAAGCAAGAAUUUGUACGAGCGACAGCUGGAAUCUCAAAGAAUUUGUAAGUUGAGAAGAGAUGCACACUCCUAUUUGUGCCCUUACUACAAAUGUGCCUGUUUGGAACCCAAUUUGGCUUCCUACCCGAGUUGAUGGACUCCUGCUGUAGCCCUUAUUUCAAGACUCUGCAAAUCUUGAGACUCCAAGGUAAAGUUUUAGAGUUACCCUUUUCCAGAGCAAAAAAUUGGAGCUAAAAUUGGUUCCUUGAUGGGGUUUUUGGGGGAAUGAGUUCAAAAUUGUGUUCCACUUUUGUAUUAGCACGUGCACAAUUUCUCAGAAAAGGGACUUUAUCUUUCAUGCAUGAUUAGUUUCUUGUCAUUUCGUAUCGCUGGACUACUGGGAAACACCCAAUUUGCCUCGGUACUUUACGAAAGGUACAAUU